rnacentral:rRNA from 1 species
UACGAAGGGGGCUAGCGUUGCUCGGAAUGACUGGGCGUGAAAGGCGCGUAGGCGGUUUGUACAGUCAGACGUGAAAUUCCUGGGCUUAACCUGGGGGCUGCGUUUGAUACGUGCGGACUUGAGUGAGGAAGAGGGUCGUGGAAUUCCCAGUGUAGAGGUGAAAUUCGUAGAUAUUGGGAAGAACACCGGUGGCGAAGGCGGCGACCUGGUCCUUUACUGACGCUGAGGCGCGAAAGCGUGGGGAGCAAACAGGAUUAGAUACCCUGGUAGUCCACGCUGUAAACGAUGUGUGCUGGAUGUUGGGGAACUUAGUUUCUCAGUGUCGUAGCUAACGCGAUAAGCACACCGCCUGGGGAGUACGGCCGCAAGGUUGAAACUCAA